rnacentral:misc_RNA from 1 species
CGAAAUGCGAUAAGUAAUGUGAAUUGCAGAAUUCAGUGAAUCAUCGAAUCUUUGAACGCACAUUGCGCCCGCCAGUAUUCUGGCGGGCAUGCCUGUCCGAGCGUCAUUUCAACCAUCAAGCCCCGGGGCUUGUGUUGGGGACCUGUGGCUGCCCGCAGGCCCUGAAAACCAGUGGCGGGCUCGCUGUCACACCGAGCGUAGUAGCAAUCACCUCGCUCAGGGCGUGCUGCGGGUUCCGGCCGUUAAACAGCCUUACAAAACCCAAGGUUGACCUCGGAUCAGGUAGGAAGACCCGCUGAACUUAAGC